rnacentral:lncRNA from 1 species
CCAAACAAGCUAUUCAGGCUUUCUCUUGAAAAACCCCUGUCCCGCAGAGGCCCGUGGCUCCUCAGAUUUCACUGGCUGAAGGCUUCUCAGGAAGAAAACCUUUCCAGAUGCCUGGAUGAUCUGUGGAGUCGAGGGAGAUGUCUUGCUACCUUUCCCGAAUCCUGCAGGAAGACUACAAGGCAAUCGAUAUCCAUGGAGAAUCAUGAACUAUAAAAAUAGAGUGAGGACUCCAAAGGUACUACAGGAAAUUGUGGCCUGAGGAAGAAGGCCUUGCAAUGGCACAAGUUUCCCUGGUGAUGACACUAUGAAAGGCUGUACAGAAUGGCACAGACCUGUCCACUCUACAGCAGUAGAAGUAUGGAUGCACAACUGAAAGCAGGAUUUUGUUCACCCUUACCUGACGAGUCCCUCUGGGACUGGUGCAGAUUUUAGUU